GUCAAGAUGGCCGAGUGGUCUAAAGCGCCAUACUCAAUAACCGAAGUUCUUCGCCGACAUGAAGAGUUGAGUAUUCUGGUCUCCGAAUGGAAGCGUGGGUUCGAAUCCCACUUCUGACA
rnacentral:tRNA from 1 species